rnacentral:rRNA from 1 species
GUGUGGACGCCAGUCUGCAUGGAGCCGACCUUGAAAUACCACCCUUUAAUGUUUGAUGUUCUAACGUGGACCCGUGAUCCGGGUUGCGGACAGUGUCUGGUGGGUAGUUUGACUGGGGCGGUCUCCUCCUAAAGAGUAACGGAGGAGCACGAAGGUUGGCUAAUCCUGGUCGGACAUCAGGAGGUUAGUGCAAUGGCAUAAGCCAGCUUGACUGCGAGCGUGACGGCGCGAGCAGGUGCGAAAGCAGGUCAUAGUGAUCCGGUGGUUCUGAAUGGAAGGGCCAUCGCUCAACGGAUAAAAGGUACUCCGGGGAUAACAGGCUGAUACCGCCCAAGAGUUCAUAUCGACGGCGGUGUUUGGCACCUCGAUGUCGGCUCAUCACAUCCUGGGGCUGAAGUAGGUCCCAAGGGUAUGGCUGUUCGCCAUUUAAAGUGGUACGCGAGCUGGGUUUAGAACGUCGUGAGACAGUUCGGUCCCUAUCUGCCGUGGGCGCUGGAGAACUGAGGGGGGCUGCUCCUAGUACGAGAGGACCGGAGUGGACGCAUCACUGGUGUUCGGGUUGUCAUGCCAAUGGCACUGCCCGGUAGCUAAAUGCGGAAGAGAUAAGUGCUGAAAGCAUCUAAGCACGAAACUUGCCCCGAGAUGAGUUCUCCCUGACUCCUUGAGAGUCCUGAAGGAACGUUGAAGACGACGACGUUGAUAGGCCGGGUGUGUAAGCGCAGCGAUGCGUUGAGCUAACCGGUACUAAUGAACCGUGAGGCUUAACCUUACAACGCCGAAGGUGUU